rnacentral:rRNA from 1 species
CUACGGGAGGCAGCAGUGGGGAAUCUUGCGCAAUGGGCGAAAGCCUGACGCAGCAACGCCGCGUGAGCGAUGAAGGCCUUCGGGUCGUAAAGCUCUGUCAAGUGGGAAGAACACAAUGACGGUACCACUAGAGGAAGCCCCGGCUAACUUCGUGCCAGCAGCCGCGGUAAUACGAAGGGGGCAAGCGUUGUUCGGAAUUAUUGGGCGUAAAGCGUAUGUAGGUGGUCUUUCAAGUCAGGCGUGCAAGCCCUCGGCUCAACCGAGGAAUUGCGCUUGAAACUGAUUGACUUGAGUGUAGGAGAGGAAAGCGGAAUUCCCAGUGUAGCGGUGAAAUGCGUUGAUAUUGGGAAGAACACCGGUGGCGAAGGCGGCUUUCUGGCCUGCUACUGACACUGAGAUACGAAAGCCAGGGGAGCAAAGGGGAUUAGAUACCCCCGUAGUCCUGGCUGUAAACGAUGGGCACUAGGUGCGGGAGGUAUUGAUCCCUUCUGUGCCGCAGCUAACGCAUUAAGUGCCCCGCCUGGGGAGUACGGUCGCAAGGCUGAAACUCAAAG